rnacentral:lncRNA from 1 species
GUUGAUUAGUCAGUCAUGCCGAUGGCAUCGGCAGGAUCUAUUUCGAAGUGCCCGGGGACGGGGGCCCCCCUCGGGAGGGGGACCGGCCGGGCACGGCAUGGGCAGCCGAUGAGGCAUCACCUCCGUGCCUGCCUCAGUCGCGUGCUGGCCCUCGUCCUCACAGCACCCUACACCACGCAGCAUCCGCCCCUCUCGGACCGCGCCAUAAAUUUGCGUCGUUAUCGCGUGAGAGAAACCCUCGUGCGUGUCUGUGUUUUCGCGCCGGACUACCGUCGAUUUUUGUGCGCGAGACGUUUCAGUGAUAGUGUCAGUGAGGAAUUUCCUAUCCUUCCUCGUGCCAAAUUUGAACAUCAUAUAUUAAAAAACGCAGAUACAUUUCACUUGAAUUUGGAACGAACGUGACCUCUCAACAUUAAACUAACAUAAAAGUGUAUUUGUGUUUGAUAAAUUAUAAAUGUGCUCUAAUAGUUUCGACGCCUCUCUGUUUCUGUGUUAAUUCCAACCUUUUUUUGGAUUUACGUUUUAUCAGCUAAGAGCAUGUAUCGUCCAGAACUUGUGCGUGCACUUCGCGUGUGGGAAAAAUGAUUGUUACCAAAGCCUAAAUCUGUGUAGAACUUAUUUUUCCUAAUAUGGCGCUCGUUACGAGGUAGAAUUUGCGACAUAUUUCCGCAACGAUCAGACGUAAAUUCGCAAUUUCGGACUUUUUCAGUCGUGCGAGAAUUUGUAGAUUCCGAUGAAAAAUUUCAGUGUGCCAUUUUAAAAAUCCGAUCUUUGUACCAUUCAAUUUUACUUUUUUCAAGUUCGUAUCAGUUUUGUGGAUUAAAGGGAAAAUCCCUGAAUUAGCACUUAGUGAUAAAUUAACGAUCUACUUCAAAUGCCAUAUUUCUGUUGUGAUUUGCGAAAAACCGAAAGUUAUGCCUUAACUGAAGUUUGUUGACCAAUUUGAAUUAUGUAAUGAAGAUUCUAAUCAGCCUGUUCUUGGCUCUUUUGUUGAAGGGUGCUCUUAAAGAGGUCAGACUAUUCAGCUCUGCUGACGUCACUGAAGAAUUAUGUCCUAAAUAUUUCAGUAAGACAAUUUUUUCUUACUUUUAUAUUUCUUACUUUUUAUUCAUGGAUUUAUUGAUUGUUAAUUAUUAGCAGUUGUAGUGCAUGAAUUAUAAAAGGAUUUUU